AUGGUUUGUCACAAAGACGAUAAGAGUCCUUUCGACAAGCAUAAAGUUUUUGUACGAAACAUAAAUGAAAAUGACACAAGUUUAUUAAGUGAACAAUUUGGAGAACUAUGUAAAGAGUUUUUUUUUUUUCGUAAUAAAAGCAAAGCUACUUUAACAAAAAGUGCUAUAUGUAAGUUUCGAAGUGAAAAUGAAGCAAAAGAUUUUAUAGAAAAAUAUAACAACACAAAUCAGUUUAGUAGUAAAAUAAAAUGCGAAUUUGCAUUAAAACAAAAAACAAGCGAUAAAAAAAUUUAUACAAUUGCAAAUAACAAUAAACAAAUAAACUAUAAAAAUUCGCUUAAAUUAUAUACUAAUGUUGAUAUUGAUAAAAUAACAUUAAUAAAUUAUAUAAGAGAUAUAUUUUAUAUAAAUAAAAAAUCUAUAUUAACUUAUUUUAAUGGAGAUAAUAAUUUGGAAAAACAUGAUAAAACAGUGAAUAAAAAAGAAACUUAUAAUUAUUUAGAGAAAUCGGAUGAUGAUGCUGGUAAUGGUGAUGGUAAUGGUGAUGAUAUUAUAAUUGUCACUGAUAAAAAAUGUAUGGAAUUUGAACAACUUGUGUUAAAUGUAAAAAAGGAACAGAAUGUUAGUAAGUAUGUGAUAAAGGAGUUGAAUAAGGCAGACUCAGUCGAGGGUAACAGGAAAAACAAAAACGACGAUAGUACUGACAUUAAUAACGACAAAAACAAAAACAAACACAGUAAAAACAAAAACGAAAACAAACAAAGUAAAAACAAAAACGACACUAUAACUGUAAGCAGCAAUACCAUUAAUGACUACUUUGUGUAUGUCGUUGAGUUUUUAAAUUUAGGUAUAGCAGUUGAGUUUUCCAAAUAUAUAAAUAAAGAAAAUUUUACCGACUUUAUAAAAAACAAAGUACCUGAAAUAAAAUCCCAUAUUUUAUUUCAUCAUGAAAUAUGUUAUAUAAAUAUAGCAAAUAAAAUUGUUUUUAUUAAAAAUUUACAUAGAACAUGCCAUAUUGAAAACAUUACUAAAUUUUUUAAACACAUUGAAAAAAGCGUUAAAGUUAUUAUACCUAAAAAAAAUGAUAAAAAACAGGGGUAUGCAAUUGUUUUUUUUUCAAAUUACUCAAAUGCACAAAAGGCCUUACGCUUAAAUGGUACUAAACUAUGUGGACAAAGCGUAACUAUUCAAGUUGAUGAAAAACUCACCAAACUUACGUCUUUAAAUAAAUCAUCUGUUAAAAAAGAUAAUAUAAAGAAUGUUAAAAAGGAAAAUGGGGUAACGGGUACGAUAAAAGAAAAUGUAAUAAGCGAAAAAAUAGAUAAGUUGUCAGAUUCGGAUAGAGCAACUAGCUCAGAUGGUGAUGGUUCAGAUGGUGAUGAUGCAAAUUCGGAUGGAGCAACUGGCUCAAAUUUUGACGGAACAAGUCAAGUAUCCAAUGAAGAAAAUAUCUUUCCAAAGAAUAAUAAAAAAAGUUACGACAAUAAAAGUGAUACAAUUACUCCUCGUAGAAAUGAUGCAAGUGAUGGACAAACAUUAUUCAUAACAAACAUGCCAACAGAAACCAGCGAUGAAGAAAUUAAAGAAUACGUAGUAAAAAAUAUAAGUAAACAUUAUAUAUAUAUAAAAGCUUGCAGAAAUAAUGAUAAAGCAUUAUCAGUGUUUGUAAAAUUACGAUAUAAAACUGAUGCAGAUAAUUUUUUAAAAAAAAUUGGUGAAUAUGAGGAAGAUGAAAAUGACAAUAAUAAUGAAAAUAAUGAAAAUGUUAUUGACAGCUAUUAUAACAAAAAACAAAAUAAAGAAAAAUUUAAACAGAUUUUAAUAAAAGGUGAUAAUAAAAUUAUUCAAUCAGAUAUUUUAUUUUAUAAAAAUAAUUAUUUAAUGAUCAAAAGGGCUGUUAAUAAAGAUGAAAUAAAAGAUAAAAAAAAAAUGAUUUCAAAAGAAAAAAAAAAAAAAGAAAAAAAAAUUAAUAAUAAUAUUCAUUUGAUAAAUGAUAACAAUAUCAAUAAUAAGCAUUUAUCUGAUCAAAUUAUAAAAAGGAAUAAUAAAUUAAUGGAAAAAAAAAAAGAUAUUUUAAAAAAUAGAAAUUUCGUUAUAAAUCCAUGUCGAAUUUAUAUACGAAAUUAUCCAAUCCAGUUAGAAAAAAACGUUUUUCGUCAAAUGGUUUUAAAAUAUUUUACACCGAUAAUUAUAGAAAAAGAAAAAUUAAAAAAAAAAGAAGCAUUCAAAAUUGCAAAUACAAUUAUUAAAAAAAUGAAAAUAUUAACUAAUAGUGUAAAAAAUUCAGAAAUGAUUGAAAAUUUUGAAGAUAAAAAAGAAAAGAAGAGUAACAAAGCUCUUAUUUGUUUUAUUGACGUUGAUAAACAUGAACAUGCGAAAAUGUUAAUUAAUUUAUUACAAAAUAAAAAUCUCAUGGAGUUAGUUAAUAAAAUACUUUACAAAGGAACUAUAAAAACCACACAAAAAAAUAAGUAUAUAACGUACGUAGAUUAUUGUAUAGAAGAUAUGAGGAAGGUUCAUAUUAAAAAAAUUAAAGAAGAAAAAUUUCUUAAUCUUAUUAAAGAAAAACAUGGUAUUAUACCUACUCAAAAACAUAUCAAAAAAAAAAAAAAAAUAAAUAAAAUAUCGAGAGGAAAAAAACAAAGAGAAAAAAGGAGAUUAUUAAGAAUGCAAAAAGAAAAUAAAAAUAAUGUAUAUAUGUUUCACCAAGUUCCGUUGAAAAAAGAUAAUAACAACCAUAUUAAUAACGAUCAUACUAGUCAUAGCACUAGUAACAAUAUGUAUACCAAAGUAGUAAACGACCCCAAACACAACAUAUCACAAAACAUAAAUAAGGAACAUAUAACAAGUUUGAAAAAUGAAAAAAAAACAAUUAGAAAAAAUAAAAAAAGUGCAGACCCAGAAAAUUUUUCAAAUAAAAAAAGAAAAACAAUACAAAAUAAAGUUUUAGAUUCUAAAGAAAUUGAUGCAAUUAAAAAGGAUGUUAAAAAAUUUAUGAAGAAUAUUGUCCCAUAA
rnacentral:lncRNA from 1 species